rnacentral:rRNA from 1 species
CCAAUAGCGUAUAUUAAAGUUGUUGCAGUUAAAAAGCUCGUAGUUGAAUUUCGGGAUCAAUAUAACGGUCAUGCCGUUGGUAUGCACUGUCAUAAUUGGUUUCUCACCUUCUAAAGAACCGUAAUGCCAUUAAUUUGGUGUCACGGGGAAUUAGGACUGUUACCUUGAAAAAAUUAGAGUGUUUAAAGCAGGCUCACGCUUGAAUACAUUAGCAUGGAAUAAUGAAAUAGGACAUCCGAUUCUAUUUUGUUGGUUUCUAGGAUCGAUGUAAUGAUUAAUAGGGAUAGUUGGGGGCAUUAGUAUUCAAUUGUCAGAGGUGAAAUUCUUGGAUUUAUUGAAGACUAACUACUGCGAAAGCAUUUGCCAAGGAUGUCUUCAUUAAUCAAGAACGAAAGUUAGGGGAUCGAAGACGAUCAGAUACCGUCGUAGUCUUAACCAUAAACUAUGCCGACUAGGGAUCGGAUGAUGUUAAUUUUUUAAUGACUCAUUCGGCGCCUUACG